AGCGCAGCAGGCGCGCCAGGCAGUCGUCGGUAACGUGGCCGCAGCCCGAGAGCGUGACGGACGCCAGGUUGGGGCACCUGUGAGGAGAGUGCGGUGACCCGGGGCUCACUGGCUUGUUAAAGCUACCCAACCGCCCCAUGGGACCGAGUGGACUCAUUUACCGAGGAGGACUCGGGCCCUGCGAGGGAAAAAACAAAGAGCGGACUGUCCCCCUGCCCAGCCAUCCUCAGCCAUUCCUCCCGACCUGAGCUGAGUGCCAGAAGAACCAGAUUCAGUAGACGUUCAUCAGUACCUACUAUGUGCCAGGUCACUUCAUCCUGGCCCAGGUACUGCAGCUCCAAAUCGUGGGGAUUCUGUAAGAGCUUGCUACCUGUUGACUGAGGAGGCCCACGAGUUGAGAAGAACUAGCAAGAGUGGUACAAAACUGCAGGUCAUUGGGCUGGCCACCAGGUAUUCCCACCCACCAGAAGCUGGCUGUUGUACUCACCCGGAACCAUGGUGCACCACCACAGCGGCGAGGUCAUACAGGCAGCUCUCCGGGCCACUGUUCUCAGGCUACAGAACAAGGAAGAAGGAGCAGUGGUCAAUGACAUCAGUAUCUCGAUGACCUCUACCCUCUCCAUGUGAUGACAAUCUUACUGAAGAGCCAUUUUUUCACCAUGCUAAAAAGGUAACCACCUUACCUCUAGUAAGUAGCAUUUCAUGUCUAGGCCUCUCAGUGGAAAUUCUACGUAUGUAUCAACUUUAUUUCUUAAAUAUGCUGUCCAAUGAAAUCUUUUCAAAUGUAAGCAUAGCACCUGGAGGACAGAGAUGCGGUCAAAGAUUGUGAACACCUAAUUUACCUUUCAGUCAAAGUUUGAUACUACUAUCAGUUCAGUAAAUAACAUUUUAGCUGCCCUAUCAAUCAUUCUUCCAUGCAUACCUUAUGCAUUCAUUCUGUAAGGGGUUUAGCUUUUACUGAAAAUCCUAGAGAAAAAUACAGAACAGUUCACAUAGUGUAAAGUUAUAGACAUGGUCUUAGCAGUCAAGCACUUUCCCAUUGAAAUUGCUUCAUAACUCAAAAUUCAACACUCACCUUGGGUAGUUUUUGAAUCCAAAACUUUUUUGUGGACUUUUGUUUCUUUUUGCAUUUAUGGCACAUAUAUAACUCUGUCUCAUCAAGUUCUUCUAAGUCGGUAAAACUGCGAAGACAAUCUAAACAAAUUGAUUUUGGCAGCAUUAAAACAAGAUGCCUUUUGUAGAGGCAAUGUACUGUAGAAAAAAGACCCAGGUUUAAAAUCUCAGCUUUAUUAGCUAUACGACCUUAGAAAAGUUAACCUUUCUCAAUUGCAAACUGGAGACAAAAAAUAAUACCUACUUUGAAGAACUAUUAUAAGGAAGAGAAAUAAUGUGUAGAGCACCUGGCAUCAUGCCUGACAUCUGGUGAUGAUCAAUUGUGUUGGUUUUACUAUUAAUGAUAAUUCAUCUGGAUAAUUCUGAUAAAAUGGUUUCCUGAUGAAUUUAAAGUUUCAAUUGUAGUUUUCUGUCAAUAUGUUACAUUAUACAGGACAAAGCUCCAAACUCAUAAAAAAAAGUCAAAUUUAGAUAAUUUAAAAAUAAACAUAGAUCACAGAAG
ensembl:lncRNA USP3-AS1 USP3 antisense RNA 1